GGUACGACCCUCGGCAACGGAUAUCUCGGCUCUCGCAUCAAUGAAGAACGUAGUGAAAUGCGAUACAUGGUGUGAAUUGCAGAAUCCCGUGAACCAUUGAGUCUUUGAACGCAAGUUGGACCUGAGACCAUCCGACCAAGGGCACGCCUACCUGGGUGUCACUC
rnacentral:rRNA from 1 species